UGUUGGAUUAGAUGUCUAAGCCCAUAAAUAUUAUUAGUAUGUACGCAACCCGAGAGUAGAAUGGUCCAUUUGGGUUGCAUAACACCAGGACAAUUUUUUAGGAUGGACUCUUGAGAAAAGGUUAUAUAUGAUUUAUUAAUAUAUUAUAAGUUCUAAUAUAUUAAUAUGAAAUCAUUUGUUUUAAUUAGUAUUGAUCAAGAAUUAAUUUGGAAUUAAUUUAGUGAUCAAAAGAGACUAAUUAAAUCUAUGGGGACUAAUUAUAGUAAUUAGUUAUAUUUAUAUGUGUUGGGCUUAUGAUCCAUGUUGGACUAAGUUUAUGUAUAGAUACAUAAAGAGUUGGGCCACAUGAACCAUGGAUCAUAAAACCCAUGGGUAUGGAUUUGGGUUAUACCCAUGAUCCUUGGAAUCCAACAUAUAAAUAUGUUACUUCAUGACCAAAAAGUGUGCUUCUUUUAUUAGAGAAAUAUGGAGGUGUUUUGGUGCAUGGAAUUUUCUCUCAAGAGUCAUCUUUGUCCUAGGUGAGUUGUGAUUCCAUUUGAGGUGCAACACUUGGGGCACUAUGUUCUUAAAGGCCAAAGUCUUUCUAGCAAUACCAAAUACAUCAAGACUUCAAGCCACAUAAAAUGUAUGUUAAUCUAACUAGUAUCUUGUAUUGUUUAUGUCAAAUUGCAUGCUAGUUAUAGGUUUAAUGCCUUGGAAACCACUUGCAUUUAUAAUUAGUGAAAACAUAGAUCCAAGGUAUUUAGGGUUGUAUGUGCACCAUAGGAUGUUGUAGUAUACAAAAGCCCAUUAGUGGUAUCAGAGCCAUUGGCUGCAUUCUAUUAUACUUGAUGUUUUAUAAGUUUUCAAAGUGAAAAAUCAAAAAAGUUGCCUUCUGCCCAGUGAACUCACCGAGUCCACUGGGUGACUCGUCGAGUUGCAUGUGUUUUGUCUUGGACUCGUCGAGUCCAGUAAUGGGAUCGACGAUUUGGCGGUCCAGACAGCAGGUUUUCGAGUUUUUUGGCCUAUUUUGGAUUAGAAUCAUUACCACAAAAUGUUUUUGUUCAUAAAAUUUAAUUUUGUUGUUAUGGUAAUGUUAUUCUCUUCCAAUUAUUAGAUAAUUGUCAUAAUUUCAAGUUUUGUAUUAUUUUAUAUGAAUAUGCUAAUUUCUUGAAGAUUGAUGAUAUGAAUUAUCUUGUUCUUAUGAGUUAGUUUAGAUUAAUAGAAAAAUUACGUGAUAAUUGUUUUCGAUCCAAAUUGACCUAAAAGUUGUUCAUAAUAUGUGUUUUUGUAACUUGUCCUCAAGUUAUAUGAAAAGUCUCAUUUAUGAAUUUUAAAACUCAUAAAAUUUCCAUAAGUUAUGAAAAUGAAGAGUCUCAUUUUUUUUAAAUGUUUUGAAGGUCUUCCAUAACUUGUCCUCAAGUUAUGGAACUUGAAGAGUUUUUCACUAAACUACUUUAAACUCAUAAGUUAUGGAAACCAAAAUGUUUUGAAUUGUUCAAAACUUGCCCUCAUGUUUUGGAAUUUGUAAAGUUAACCCCCCAUGUAUACUUUAAUUUUAACCCUUAGAUUUUUAAAAGUUUAAAAUUCAACCCUUAUACUAUUAUAAUAUUAUAGGUUUAAUAUUUAUAUAUAUAUAUGUAUAAGAGUAAGUCAGUCCUACCGUUAGUAUGUCUCAUUUACGAAGUCGGUCUAUAAUAGGGGUAUAAGGUUAAUGCCUAUAAAAUGGCAGUUUAAUGGGUGUCCACUCUCACCCACCGCUUCCUUGACUGGCGGAGGGUUGUUAGCGGGUACGACAUGACAUUAAUUAUCCCUUCAUUAAAAGUGUAAUGAUAAUAUAAAGUAACUAAACUUUAUUAAAUUCCCAAUCUUAGUUACUUUAGGAAAAUGUGAAUUUGGUGCAAACCCAUGAAAUUGCACUUUGCACCUUGUUAAGUCACUAAUGGAGCGUGUGUGGUUAAUCGACACACUAAUCUGGGACUGACAAUGUGUGGCAAAGGGUAGAUUGAUGUUAAUCAUAGAUCAAUGGAGCGUGUGUGGUUAACCGGUACAUUGAUUAGGUGGUUGCAACACUAAAUGUACCAAGUUAAUUUGCAUGGUUAUUCACUCCUUGUUUGUGAUCCUCGACAUCCCAGUCACAAACUUGAAGGGCACAAUCGAGAUAUAAACAUGCCAUUGAAUAGUUCAAUGAAUCUCAAAAGAUCUAGGAGUUUCAAUUCAUUUAAAACCUAAUGUUAAAUUUCGUUUUUCAUGGUGGAAAUUGGUAAAUCUUUAUUUACCUACCUUCAAAUAUUUUGUAUCUUGGAUUAUGGCAUCCCUCUUCCAAGUUAUAAAAUAUUGUGUUGGGUCCUAGCCUUAAUAUUUAAUAUUGGGUGUUAUAUAAAGGACUUAAAUCAACUUACUUGAAUUUCUCCCUCAUAGAUGUAUAGUUAUGACAUCUAUGGUCUUCCUUAUCCAUUUGGAUAAAGCUUUCCUAAUGAAGAUGAUAUCCCACAUGGAAAAUAAAGGUGAAAGAUUAAUCCAUUUAUCGUGCAUUAAUGGGACUGGAAAUCAUACUUCACUUCCUUCACCUCCUCCAAUUAUUCUCCCAAACCCACAAGUUCUUGAAAAGUUCAAGGUCACUCAAUCCCAAUUGGCAAGCAAUGUCUAUAUGUGCUCACAUCUUGGAGAUGAAGUCACAUAUUGACAAGCCGGGAGAGUUGGGUGUCGAAGUCUCGAGGAAGUUGGUUGUUGACUGAGUUCUUUAGUCACUCCCUGAUGACAGAUCACGACAUGACCCUUAUUGAUCUUACCUAUUUGCUUGUUGCUGCUGAAUCAGCAAUGAUUUGGAGCACUGGUAAAGCAAAUUUUAUUGGAAGAUCUACUUAUCAAACUUCCAUGGACAUUGAAAAUGAUAACAUUAGAAGUCCAGAAAAGCUUUAUCUUCCCAAAGGAAAGGGAUUGGCCAUGGUCAAGUCAUUUGACCCAAUGGUAAAGAGAAAGGCUAAGUCUGAGAUAGUCUCGUGUACCAUUCCUAAAGAGUCCAUAUGUUUCUAUUACCAAAAGAAGGGGUAUUGGUUGCGAAGAUGCCCUAUUUACUUGAAAGUUCACUAGGAUGGUAAAAGUCAAAAAGUUUGACUAUGCUUCAGGUAAAGUCCACUAUCUAACUUUAUUAAGUUCCUAUUUGGAGAUUCUUAUUACAUGAUGUGACUAGGUCGCACUUUGAUGUUUUGUAGAAUCGAAGAAAAGAAAGGAAGCUUAAAGGAAGAGUAAGCUGAUUCUGAUCGUGAAGAGAUGGAUUUCGAUCGCAUGGUUCGAUGAUUACAAUUUUAAGAUGUUGCUUAAGAGUCAUGAUAGAUUGCUAAAGAAUAGAUAACAACAUGUUUUUCAUUUGUAAUUACAUUGUAAGGAAAUGCUUUCUGCAAAUUUUUAAAUAAAACAAAUGUUUUUUAAUUUAAGUUUCCUUACAAUGACAUUUGUGAAAAAUUGUUGUUUAUAUGAUUCCAUUGAUAGCAAUAAUGGAAAAUGGAUUUGAUUCUCCAGUUUUCAAUUGUCUUACAGCGAAGACGGUCUUCUGUUUCUCGCUACAGUCGCAGCUCUCAAACACCAUUUCCAUCUCGGAGAUCCAAUCCAUAAUCUCAACAGGCUUUGGGCUUCCUGAGAGGCUUGGUGGUUUCGCACCCAAGAAAUUCUUGUACAUUCGCCCAUCCUUGUCGUUUCUCCUCUCCGGGCCAUCCCUUUGUUCACCUUGAGUCCCUACCUGACUUACUUGGUGGCUUUAGUUCCUUUCCUCCAAUUGCUCGGGAAUCAGCUCGGGUUGCUCAGUGGGCAUAGUAGGUUCGUCCCUAUUCAACAUCCGCCUCAUUUCUUCCCUUUGUUCAGCUAGCAUAGCCUGAAUCAUGGCUUGAACUCCAUCCAUGGUGACUGGCUUACGUGCAACUUCUUCUACAACAGGUAUUUGCUAGACCACUGGGGGUUGGGGGUUGGUUCCUAUUUCCAUUUGCGUUUACGUUUCCGUUACGGGUCCUUGCCAUCUUGAUCUAUACACCGAAUAAGGUGAAUCUGGAUCUUUAUUUAGGAUUGACGUUUAAAUCGUCCUUAUCACUCCGAAACGUUUAUAUGCCAGUUCUAAUAUCGUAUUCGUACGUUUAGAAUCCUAAACACAUAAGGUUUCUAGAUCCGGUCGGCAACAAACCAUAGAUCCGAUCAAACUAUAGCAUAACCAAUCAUUUAGCACAUAAAAGCGAUUUAGGCAUCAUUCCUAAAAUAAGCUAGUGCUCACACCUCACAAUCAUCGCUUAGCAUUCUAAGUUUAAGUCUAGAAAUUUCCUACAAAUUCCUAGUUCGCUUAAACUAAUGCUCUGAUACCAACUGUGACAUCUCCAUUUUCACGGCCAUAAAAGACCGAUUUUGUUUAUGCUUUAUAAAAAUCAGAGUACCUCUUUUAAUAAAAAUGUUGCAGAAUUUGUUCCCAGUAAAACAUGAUAAAUACGUUAUCAAAGCAUUUCUGAAGCAAAGUAUUUUUAUUCAUUUUAAAACAUUUGGGAUGUCAUCGUCAAUACAGAAACAUAAGCAUAAACAGAACUUACAUUCAGUAUCACUAGUGAUUUAUAUCUCCUUAAUCUCUCACUGUAANUAAUCUCUCAGUGUAAUGUGACUUCAUAUCAACACCUGUGAUAUAAAUAAACUGAGUGGGUCAGGUUGGGAAACCUGGUGAGUACAUAGGGUUUUCAACCCACAAUAAUAUAAUUAUUAUGUUUAAACAAUCAAACAAUCAACCCAAUUACCCAUCCCCAUUAUCUUCUUUACUCUUAAGGAUCUAUCCUAAGAGUCAUCUAUCCUGCAUUCGUUUAUCCCGAAGUCCCUUGCUUCCAGGGUUAUAGGACUGACACUAAAUCCAUAGCUGCCAAUGUUCGUUCGUAAAGCACUAAUUCCAUAGCUGCUAUAGUCUAUUCAUCGGGUACUAAAUCCAUAGCUACCAAUGUUUAUCUAAUAGGUACUAAGUCCAUAGCUACCAAUUCCUAACAGGUACUAAAUCCAUAGCUACCGGUGUUUGUCCAAUAGGCACUAAGCCCAUAGCUGCCGAUGUUUAUUAGGCACUAAGUCUGUAGCUACCAAUGUUUACUCACAUCAUCUUUUAUCUCUCAUCAUUCAUCUACCCAUGUCAUACCCAACUUAUUCGUAUAUAUAAGAUACGUAUACAGUUUAAAUCAUUUAAAACAUGUAUAAAACGUUCAUACAACGUAGACAACAAGUAUUCAGAUAAUAUGCACACAUAGCACGUAGUUUAAAUAAAAUACUUCAUAUCUAUGUGUAAGAUGAAAGGGACUAUGCACUCACCUGAGAAGGUGGUGACUCGGUACUGGGAUAGUGCUUCGUUUACUUUAAAAUAAUUUCCUUCGACGAAACCUAGUACCAAUACCACUAGGGUUUAGUCUAACGAUAACCGCGACAAAUUAAUAGUCUGACUAUUAUUAUUAUUAUUAUAUAAGCGUUAAAUAACACUCAAUAUAACUCAUAAUAAUAGCUCAAAUAAUUAUUUUAAGAACCUAAUAACAUUACUAUAAUUAUUUGGAAGCUAUAUUAAAAAUUGCGUAAGCAUAGCACACUUACAACGAAUUUUAUCGAAAACCGGAACUUAUUUGGAGCAGCGUUUCGAAACCAAAAGGCUCUUUUUCUCGGGACUCCGGGAGGCUCGGGGCUUCCUUUAGGUGGUAGGUAUUUUUCCUAGGGCUUAGGGGGGGGGGGUUAGAAACCCUAGAGAGAGAAAGAAAUCUAGAGAGAGAAAGGAAAUUGUGUGAAAAACUCGGAAAUCUUUGCAUCUAUUUAUAGCCUCAGCAGCCUCGGUUACACCGGGCGUAGUUCCGAGGUACGCUGGGCGUAGUUCCAGAUAUGGUUGCCAGCUUCGCACAGCUGGCUCGCACUCGGAAGAAGACCCGGAUAAGACCGAAGGUACGCGGGCCGUACCGGACCUCGUACGCGGGGCGUAAUGCGAAGGGUGACAUGUCAAGAUCCGAAGCGAGGCUUUCUUCAGCGAUGGACGGUUCAGAACGCGCCACGUCAUCGAUCCUUCAUCAGGUCUCGCAAUUUCAUGCUUCAACUUUAAAAAUUCGUAACUUUCGCGUACGAGCUCCGUUUUUGACGUUCUUUAUAUCCACGCGAAGGUGGGAAUGUACUCUACAACUUUCGUUUAGACUCCAUCGGCUAAUUUUGAUUCAAUUUUAAAUUUUAUAUUAUUAACAGGCAGGGACAGAUUGGUCCGUUAAAUCCUCAUAACUUCUUCAUCCGACGUCCGUUUUUGUCCAUCUUUUUCUCGUUAUGCUACUCUUAACGAGAUCUUCGAUUCUCGUUUAGGUCAUGUCGGCUAAAAUCACUCGAUCUAAUAUUCGAAUUUCGGGCUAUACACUGCUAUUCCGAAACUUCGAAAAAUCAUAACUUCUUCAUACGAAGUCAGAUUUGGGCGUUCCUUUUAUCGAUGUUCUUAGUUUAACAUAUUCUACGACUUUCGUUUAGAUCACUAAGGCUAAAUCUCGCUCUAUCGUAAAUUCACUAUUUACGCUUCCCGAUAUCGUGCCGGUUCUGUCGCGAAACUUCGACGGGUCAUAACUUCUUUGUUAUAACUCGGAUUUUGGCGUCCUUUAUAUGUGCGUAAACCUCGUGACAUAUACUACAACUUGGUUCAAAUUAUUUAUUCUAAAUAAUCUUUUGUCGAAAAGUUGUUUUCGACCCCUAUUGCAUCUAAAUUGACUAGCCUGGAUCUACGGGUGUUACAAUAUGUGAGUUAAGUGAAGGACUAGGAGAUCGGCUACACUUGGUUGUGCGCUGAUUAGGUCCACCACAAAGAACGAUAAGGCUAUUCAUCAUUAUUUACUAAUGUUUAGUAAAUAUGGUUGUGCUUACAAGUUUAAGUAUAGUUCUGAAACAUUGGAAAAGUUUCAAUGUAUGGCAGGAAGAAGGAGAAGAAUCAAAUUAGGCAGAAACAUAAAAGUUUCUACAAUCUCAAAAGAUGGUAGAGUACUUGCAGUAUCAUGUUUUAUGAUUAUCUUAGUGAUUAAGAAACCAUAUCACAAUUGAUCCUCUAUGGACAUCUUAGUGCAUUUGUUUCACUAAGAAGAGGAACUGUGAAUUGUUGAGAUGGUUAAAUCAAAAUAUAAAUCACACUUUGUUACUAAAACCAGUCUUAGAGUCAUACUCCAAGAUUGUAACCUUCAGUAACGUAAUCUUAAGAAAGGUUUAUACCACUUGCCAAAUGUAGAGUAAAAUGCUUUCUACUCUUGUACAUUUGAAAUUGGUAAGUUGUGAUGUUUUGGAUAAAACAAAGACCAACUAAGACCAAUAAUGUGAAGUGUUUUCUUGAUAAGAAUCCACACUAACUCGUGAAUAUUUGUUUGUCAAGAAAUGGUUCUUGACAUAGAGAAUCUUAUAUGUCAAGAGGUCAGUGGGAGUCUUAAAGAUCUUGAAAGCUUAAAGAACUAAUCAAGAGUAAACCUAUUGUUAAACACUAGCAAACGACUUGAGGUUUGUAACCUAUCGUGCUGACAUAUUCUUGUUUUUGUGCACAUUCCAGUUAAAGUUGACUAUGCAUGUGGGUUCUGUGAGUUCUCAGUUGUUUGCAUCACUACUUGGAAGCAAUGGUAGGCCCUUGAGCUGCCAAGUGGUAAGAAAUUAAGAUUGAUCAAGUUCAGUCCAUAUGAGCUUGGAUUUGUCACUAACCUUGUCUUGUGAUUAUGGUUAUGACAAAUUCGCAUGGAUAGGAACACAUACACCAUAACAUCUAACUGUCAUAAGGUUUCUCUCCGAUUCAUAAAAAAUGAUGCUAAGGAAACGCUUUCACUAAGUAGAUUUUAAAUAGUUAGCAAUUGUGAUAUUUGCAUUUUUCAAAUUCGUUUAUGAUUACGACAUCCUUCUUUAUAGUUCGAAUUGUGAGAAAUGGCAAAAAGGUCUAAACAUUAUGAUUACAGCAUCCUUCUUCAUAAUUGUUUAGACACACAUGUGAGCUAUCUAAGGAAAGGUGUAUGAUUUUGAUAAAGUGAAGCGUCUCGCAUCAGAAAUCUGAACUUUGGUAAGAAAGUCAAUAAAGUAUUGAUUUCUAGAAGUCCAGCUAAUUUCUGAGUACAUGUCAAAGCUAGUGGGAGAAUAAGUGUUAUGCUAGUAUGGAAAUAUUUAUUAUGCUAGUGGGAGCAUAAUCAAUUAUGUAAGUGUUGCAAGUUAGCAAUGUUAAUUAUAGAAAACAAAAGUUUCAAUUCGCAAAGUUGCAGGGGUUGAAAAGUUGUUUUACUAUCAUAAUUCGUUUCACUUCUACAAGCUUAGAUUGAGAUUUUAAUCAAAUUUAGUAAAGUNNNNNNNNNNNNNNNNNNNNNAUAUAUAUAUAUAUAUAUGAAUGUUAUGUUGGAAUGGAUCAACAUAAAGAAAUUCUAUAUAUGGAAAUAUUAUUUGCUUUCUAAAAUUCGAUUAUGAUUAUGACAUCCGUUUUCAUAAUCCGAAUUAUGAGAACAUGGCAAAUAGAAAUAGAAAUAUUAUAACAAAAGACUAGUCUAGUAUCAUGUCUUUAUGUGAGACAUCAUGAAUCGUGUCCCAUAUGCUUCAGAUAUAGGAUCAAUUAUAUGUGCUGUAAUAUUCAUCCGUUCUGAAUUUUCCAAAUGCGCCUAGGGCAUUAAGAGGGAAAAAGAACCAGAAUUAUAUAUGACUAAAAUGAUUAAGCAAUUUUCGAGGACAAUAUGAGGUUUACCAAAGAUUGGUUGCUCAUGGACAGUUGGAAGUAUGGUGUAAAUUUUGCAAGGACCAUAUUGACAUAUUCUGAAAAGAGGCAAGUCUUGUUCAGAAGUGAUAGCCAAAAUAGGAAUAUGGAAAUGUUUCCGUAGGUGGAAGUUAUUCAUUAAAUAUGUGUAAGAUUAGAAAACUUAAUGCAAGAAGAAUGUUCAAAGGAAUUUACUUUGAAUGUGAGACUUCGUUUCCAUGAAAUUGCUCUCCAUUGGAAUACUUUGUAAUAUCUGUUGCCAAGUCUUUGUGACUUCUGUGCAUAGUCUUUACAAGAGGAUCAUUGCAUAUAAGUUUAGAAUCUAACAGAUUUCGGUAAAUAGUAAGAAUUUGGUAUUCUUACAUUUAUCAUAAGGAUUUGGAGUUAUGAAAUGAGCAUCAUUGAAAUGUUAUCAAUUGAUCUAUUUCACAAAGAAAAGACCAUAUAUAAAAAUAGUGUGCAUACUUGGAGCAUGGCAUUACUUGUUUUAGUUCAAGUAUUAAGUUGAUUAUUCGAAACAUUAUACAAUGAAUAAUGAGUAAUCAAUAUCGUGAUUAAAUAAAAGGUGUUUUAUUUACUCUCAAAAGUUUUGGGGCCAUAUAGGAUUAGUAUUAUUCUCGUGUUUCACUUUGCAUGUUUUAAUAACUAGGUUAUUCAAUCCGUCCACAAUUGAUCAUACAUAAGAAGUAGGUAUUGAGGCAAGACUAUCAAGAAUGGGUCUGUAGUUUGUCUAGGUGUUUUAGACAUAGUUGUAGUAUUCAUGAGUGCUCCUAGAAUAAGAUUCGAGUAUUGGAUUAAGCUCAUGCUUAUUUGAAUCGCUUCAUGGAUUUUAUCACGAGUGGUCAUAAGACGAUAAUGUCUUAUAUUCUUCAAACGGAGACGUGUGAGUUGUAGUUGUGUGUCGGUUGCACAUUGACAUAUGUAAACGCAACCAGUAACUUGGUUGUUAUAAAACAUAUCGUUGUGUGUAAUUUGAUGAGUAAGUACAAGCGAACAUUUGGGUCGAAGUUUAUCCAUUCCUUUUACAAUAAUAGUUUUAGACUUAUCCAAGUGGGAGACUGUUGGAUUAGAUGUCUAAGCCCAUAACUAUUAUUAGUAUGUACUCGACCCGAGAGUAGCAUGGUCCAUUUGGGUUGCAUAACACCAUGACAAUUUCUUAGGAUGGACUCUUGAGAAAAAGAUAUAUAUGAUUUAUUAAUAUAUUAUAUAUUAAUAUGAAAUCAUAUGUUUUAGUUAGUAUUGAUCAAGAAUUAAUUUGGAAUUAAUUUAGUAAUCAAAAGAGACUAAUUAAAUCUAUGGGGACUAAUUACGGUAAUUAGUUAUGUUUAUAUGUGUUGGGCUUAUGAUCCAUGUUGGACUAAGUUUAUGUAUGGAUACAUAAAGAGUUGGGCCACAUGAACCAUGGAUCAUAAAACCCAUGGGUAUGGAUUUGGUUUACACCCAUGACCCUUGGAAUCCAACAUAUAAAUAUGUUACUUCAUGACCAAAAACGUGUGCUUCUUUUCUUAGAGAAAUAUGGAGGUGUUUUGGUGCAUGGAAUUCUCUCUUAAGAGUCACCUUUGUCCUAGGUGAGUUGUGAUUCCAUUUGAGUUACAACACUUGGGGCACUAAGUUCUUACAAGCCAAAGUCUUUCUAGCAAUACCAAAUAC
rnacentral:lncRNA from 1 species